AUGAGCGAUAGCAAAAAGUGAUGCGUUCAUUCUUUGAAGAAAUAGGUUGUUUCGGAAGGUUAAUGGCUAUCUGUUACUUGUAAAGUCUUCUAAUUUGUCUCCUAAGAGCUACUUUUUUAUAAGAGUUGAGACCCUUAUACCUCCUUCUCGGACGCCCUCCAAAUCCAUCAUUUUCAAGAACAACAAAAACACACCAUGCCUGAGAUAUUACGUGCUCUUCACUUAGUCACCAUAUUACGAGAGAUUCAACAAGCAUGGAAUUUCUGGAUUCAACCCCAUGAAUUCAUUACUCUUCUUAUAUUGGGAUAUUCUCUGUUUACUAUUGGAGUGGCUUUGUUAACUGAAGACUGUGUAACUUUUAUCCUUGGUCUAGCUCUUCUUUGGGUGCUGCUACUCAAUAUGUGAUUAUCUCAGUGCAGCAAUGGGAAGGUUGAGUCAAACAAGCAAAGCAUUAUGGUAUCUACCUACAGUAUCAACCUCAACCUUAAUUUAGGUGACUAGAGCUAGAGCAAGACUGUUAUCCAUUUUUGUGUGCAAAACCAGGCCUCAAAUGUAUGUUAAUUUUAUUUAUUCCAUGAAGACCUGAAAUAAAUUUUAGUUUUUAAGCUAU